ACGGAGGAUGCAAGCGUUAUCCGGAUUUAUUGGGUUUAAAGGGUCCGUAGGCGGGCUUUUAAGUCAGUGGUGAAAGCCUACAGCUUAACUGUAGAAUUGCCGUUGAUACUGGAAGUCUUGAGUAUAGUUGAAGUGGGCGGAAUACGUCAUGUAGCGGUGAAAUGCAUAGAUAUGACGUAGAACACCUAUUGCGAAGGCAGCUCACUAAGCUAAAACUGACGCUGAGGGACGAAAGCGUGGGGAGCAAACAGG
rnacentral:rRNA from 1 species